GGUUAAGCGACUAAGCGUACACGGUGGAUGCCUAGGCAAUCAGAGGCGAUGAAGGACGUGCUAAUCUGCGAAAAGCGUCGGUAAGGUGAUAUGAACCGUUAUAACCGACGAUGUCCGAAUGGGGAAACCCAGUGCAAUUCGUUGCACUAUCGUUUGAUGAAUCCAUAGUCAAACGAGGCGAACCGGGGGAACUGAAACAUCUCAGUACCCCGAGGAAAAGAAAUCAACCGAGAUUCCCCUAGUAGCGGCGAGCGAACGGGGAGCAGCCCAGAGUCUUAAUCAGCAUCAGCAUCAGGAGAACGGUCUGGAAAGGCCGGCAAUAAAGGGUGAUAGCCCCGUAUCCGAAGGUGUUGGUGUUGUGAACUCGAUGAGUAGGGCGGGACACGUGUUAUCCUGUCUGAAUAUGGGGGGACCAUCCUCCAAGGCUAAAUACUCCUGAUUGACCGAUAGUGAACCAGUACCGUGAGGGAAAGGCGAAAAGAACCCCGGCGAGGGGAGUGAAAUAGAACCUGAAACCGUGUACGUACAAGCAGUGGGAGCCUUGAUUUAUCAGGGUGACUGCGUACCUUUUGUAUAAUGGGUCAGCGACUUAUAUUCUGUAGCAAGGUUAACCGAAUAGGGGAGCCGUAGGGAAACCGAGUCUUAACUGGGCGAAUGAGUUGCAGGGUAUAGACCCGAAACCCGGUGAUCUAGCCAUGGGCAGGUUGAAGGUUGGGUAACACUAACUGGAGGACCGAACCGACUAAUGUUGAAAAAUUAGCGGAUGACUUGUGGCUGGGGGUGAAAGGCCAAUCAAACCGGGAGAUAGCUGGUUCUCCCCGAAAGCUAUUUAGGUAGCGCCUCGUGAACUCAUCUUCGGGGGUAGAGCACUGUUUCGGCUAGGGGGUCAUCCCGACUUACCAACCCGAUGCAAACUACGAAUACCGAAGAAUGUUAUCACGGGAGACACACGGCGGGUGCUAACGUUCGUCGUGAAGAGGGAAACAACCCAGACCGCCAGCUAAGGUCCCAAAGUCAUGGUUAAGUGGGAAACGAAGUGGGAAGGCUCAGACAGCCAGGAUGUUGGCUUAGAAGCAGCCAUCAUUUAAAGAAAGCGUAAUAGCUCACUGGUCGAGUCGGCCUGCGCGGAAGAUGUAACGGGGCUAAACCAUGCACCGAAGCUGCGGCAGCGACAUGUAAAUGUUGUUGGGUAGGGGAGCGUUCUGUAAGCCUGUGAAGGUGUGCUGCGAGGCAUGCUGGAGGUAUCAGAAGUGCGAAUGCUGACAUAAGUAACGAUAAUGCGGGUGAAAAACCCGCACGCCGGAAGACCAAGGGUUCCUGUCCAACGUUAAUCGGGGCAGGGUGAGUCGACCCCUAAGGCGAGGCAGAAAUGCGUAGUCGAUGGGAAACAGGUUAAUAUUCCUGUACUGGUGAUAAUUGCGAUGGGGGGACGGAGAAGGCUAGGCUGGCCGGGCGACGGUUGUCCCGGUUUAAGGAUGUAGGUGGGCGAAUUAGGCAAAUCCGGUUCGCUAUACACUGAGGUCUGAUGACGAGUCACUACGGUGGCGAAGUAGCUCAUGCCCCGCUUCCAGGAAAAGCCUCUAAGCUCUAGAUUAUCAUUAAUCGUACCCCAAACCGACACAGGUGGUCAGGUAGAGAAUACUCAGGCGCUUGAGAGAACUCGGGUGAAGGAACUAGGCAAAAUGGUGCCGUAACUUCGGGAGAAGGCACGCUGGCAUUAGGUGAAGUGGUUUACCCAUGGAGCUGAAGCCAGUCGCAGAUACCAGCUGGCUGCAACUGUUUAUUAAAAACACAGCACUGUGCAAACACGAAAGUGGACGUAUACGGUGUGACGCCUGCCCGGUGCUGGAAGGUUAAUUGAUGGGGUUAUCCGUAAGGAGAAGCUCUUGAUCGAAGCCCCAGUAAACGGCGGCCGUAACUAUAACGGUCCUAAGGUAGCGAAAUUCCUUGUCGGGUAAGUUCCGACCUGCACGAAUGGCGUAAUGAUGGCCAGGCUGUCUCCACCCGAGACUCAGUGAAAUUGAACUCGCUGUGAAGAUGCAGUGUACCCGCGGCAAGACGGAAAGACCCCGUGAACCUUUACUAUAGCUUGACACUGAACAUUGAGCCUUGAUGUGUAGGAUAGGUGGGAGGCUUUGAAGUGUGGACGCCAGUCUGCAUGGAGCCAACCUUGAAAUACCACCCUUUAAUGUUUGAUGUUCUAACGUAGCCCCAUAAUCUGGGGUGCGGACAGUGUCUGGUGGGUAGUUUGACUGGGGCGGUCUCCUCCCAAAGCGUAACGGAGGAGCACGAAGGUUGGCUAAGCAUGGUCGGACAUCAUGCGGUUAGUGCAAAGGCAUAAGCCAGCUUGACUGCGAGAGUGACGGCUCGAGCAGGUACGAAAGUAGGUCUUAGUGAUCCGGUGGUUCUGAAUGGAAGGGCCAUCGCUCAACGGAUAAAAGGUACUCCGGGGAUAACAGGCUGAUACCGCCCAAGAGUUCAUAUCGACGGCGGUGUUUGGCACCUCGAUGUCGGCUCAUCACAUCCUGGGGCUGAAGUAGGUCCCAAGGGUAUGGCUGUUCGCCAUUUAAAGUGGUACGCGAGCUGGGUUUAGAACGUCGUGAGACAGUUCGGUCCCUAUCUGCCGUGGGCGUUGGAAGAUUGAAAGGGGCUGCUCCUAGUACGAGAGGACCGGAGUGGACGCACCGCUGGUGUUCGGGUUGUCAUGCCAAUGGCACUGCCCGGUAGCUAAGUGCGGAAGAGAUAACCGCUGAAAGCAUCUAAGCGGGAAACUUGCCUUGAGAUGAGUCUUCCCUGACUCUUUAAGGGUCCUAAAGGAACGUUUAAGACGAAGACGUUGAUAGGCUGGGUGUGUAAGCGUAGCGAUACGUUGAGCUAACCAGUACUAAUGAACCGUGAGGCUUAACCUG
rnacentral:rRNA from 1 species